AAUCUUUUUUGACUGGUGCAUCAAAUGUGUCUUUUAUAAACAACUGUUUUCAAAAUUGUAUUGUAUCGUCCCGAACAUGCAUGAACUAUUUGCCAUUGAACGUUAAACAACCAUCAAACUGAGCAAUUAAAAAACUGUUAAAUGAAUCAUUUUUUUUUAAAAUACUAUAUUUCUGCAUCACGGGAUGCAGUGAUGAUACCACCAUUGUCU
rnacentral:lncRNA from 1 species